UACGUAGGGUGCAAGCGUUGUCCGGAAUUAUUGGGCGUAAAGAGCUCGUAGGCGGUUUGUCGCGUCGGCUGUGAAAACUCGGGGCUCAACCCCGAGCCUGCAGUCGAUACGGGCAGACUAGAGUGCGGUAGGGGAGACUGGAAUUCCUGGUGUAGCGGUGAAAUGCGCAGAUAUCAGGAGGAACACCGGUGGCGAAGGCGGGUCUCUGGGCCAUUACUGACGCUGAGGAGCGAAAGCGUGGGGAGCGAACAGG
rnacentral:rRNA from 1 species